CUCUGGCAAGGCUCACUGACUUGGCAGGGGGCGCGCCCUGAUCGUUUCACGUCAUCAACAGGUGUUAGAAAGUGAAAGAAAAAAUGUUUGCGUGAGAUACGCUAGAAAUGAAACAUUCUACCUUCUUGGACUGAGCAAGCCUUACAUAUGCAGUUUUAAAAACGGUUAUUCGUUGUACUAAGAGUAGUAGUGUAAAGAUCUAAUUUAUAGUAAAAGCAUUGCAUGAAUCUAUCAUCAUAUUUGCAGGUCCGGGAAAAAUAGCAUUUUAUAAAAAUGUCGUGCAAUUCUACAUCAUUUUAUAUAUUACGGGAUAAUGGACAGAGAGAAAGGCCUAUGUGUUAAUUUCAUUUUCAUCCCGGAGUCGCCUCUUCACUUUUGACGUUGAGACGGGUGUUUUGCGGGUACUAUUUAAUGAAGCUGCCAAUUGAGGACUUGUGAGGCAUCUGUUUCUCAAACUAGACACUCUAAUGUACUUGUCCUCUUGCUCAGUUGUACACCGGGGCCUCCCACUCCUCUUUCUAUUCUGGUUAGAGCCAGUUUGCAGCGUUGUACAGUGUUGUACGAGAUCUUCAGUUUCUUGCCAAUUUCUCGCAUGGAACAGCCUUAAUUUCUCAGAACAAGAAUAGACUGGCGAGAUUCAGAAGAAAGGUCUUUGCUUCUGGCCAUUUUGAGCCUGUAAUCAAACCCACAAAUGCUGAUGCUCCAGAUACUCAACUAGUCUAAAGAAGGCCAGUUUUAUUGCUUCUUUAAUCAGAACAACAGCUUUCAGCUGUGCUAACAUAAUUGUAAAAGGGUUUUCUAAUGAUCAAUUAGCCUUUUAAAAUGAAAAACUUGGAUUAGCUAACACAACGUACCAUUAGAACACAGACGGGAUGGUUGUUGAUAAAGGGCCUCUGUACGCCUAUGUAGAUAUUCCAUUAAAAUUCAGCCGUUUCCAGCUACAAUAGUAAUUUACAACAUUAACAAUGUCUACAAUGUAUUUCUGAUUAAUUUAAUGUUAUUUUAAUGGACGAAAAAUAUGCUUUUCUUUCAAAAACAAGGACAUUUCUAAGUGACCCCAAACUUUUGAACGGUAGUGUAAUGUGGGUGUGUGCAUGAGCGAGUACAUGUGUGUUAAGGGGCAGAGAAUCAGAGCAGGUGGUCAGUCCAUUUCAAGUGUUCAACAGUCUGAUGGCUUGUAAAUAGAAAACUGUUGAUAUCAGACCUAAUGCUCGGAUACCAUCUGCCUGACUGGCUUGUGUGGGGUCCUUGAUGAUGCUGAGUGCCUUCCUCAGACACCGUUUCAUGUAGAUGUGCUGGAUGGGUGGGUGUAAUGUCCCAAUGAUGUACUGGGCCAUCUUCAUCAACCGUUGGAGGGCCUUGCGGUCAUGGAUGGAGAAAUUCCAGUACCAGGCCGCAUUUCUUCAGGCAUCUUAGAAAGUAGAGACGCUGUUGCGCCCUCUUGACAAGAGUGUGAUUUUGUUAGUCCCUGACAAGUCCUUGGUGAUGUGGAUGCCUAAGAACUUAAAACUCUCUCUACCGAAGUCCUGUUUAUGUGGAUCGCGGCAAGGACACCUGUAUCUUUGUAGUGACUGGGUGUAUUGAUACACCAUCCAAAGUGUAAUUAAUAACUUCACCAUGCUCAAAGGAAUAUUCAAUGUCUGCUUCUUUUUUUUUACCCAUCUACCAAUAGGUGUGCUUCUUUGUGAGGCAUUGGAAAACCUCCCUGGUACUUGUGGUUGAAUCUCGACUGAGGGACUGUACAGAUAAUUGUAUGUGUGGGAUACAGAGUCAUUCAAAAAUCAUGUUAAACACUAUUAUUGCACACAGAGUGAGUCCAUGCAACUUUCGUUACUUGUUAAGAACAUUUUUACUCGUGAACUUAUUUAGGCUUGCCAUAACAAAGGGGUUAAAUACAUAUUGAUUCAAGAGUGGGUACAGUGUGCCUGGUAUGCUGGCCUUGAUGUGGGCCAUGAACAGCCUCCCGAAGCCUUCACGAUGACUGAGGUGGGGACUGCAGCCUGGGACAGGGACAGAUUGAAGAUGUGCAAGAAGACGCCCGCAAGCUGGUUAACACACACUCUGAGGACGUGGCCAGAGUUCCUACCUGCUUGCCUUGUAUGCGUUGCGUCGCGUGCCAGAGUCAUCAGGGUUCGUUCUGCUGACAUGAAUGCUGCAGUACUGGCUCUCAGCAUUCAACCUAUGAACAGACUCGGAUCAAACUUAAAAAGGUAGAGGAGAUUUCUGAUCUGCAGACGGACUCAGACAUGGAUGAAGAAGAGUCAACCUGACAGUAGUAACAGCGACAGCAGUACUACCCAAGGGGGAUGAUUUCCCUAUGAAUACUAUCCAGGAUGUGGAGGCGAUGGAGCAAAAUGUACUCGACAUAGCUUUCCUGAAUGGAAAAAACACCUUAUAGUAUUUCAUUAAUUACACAGUUAAUACAAUCCCCAAAGUUGUGCAUGUUAGCAAUCAAGUUAAGAUAAUUUUGGUCAAAUACUACAUCUGUUUGGGAUUCUUGUGGUCAAUUUGCAAUGUACAAAUGAUUUCUAACUAUGUUCCUGCCCCCCGAACAUCCGCUCAAGGAAAAUUGAAUUUUAAAAAAUUAUGUAAAUAAAAAAAUAUAAGAAAAUUGGCCCUCGGCUAGGCGAACACAACUAGUCAAGGUACCAGUCUGUUUAGCUAUCAUUUCACUCCUCGUCAUGCUAAACAUCUUAUCUUUGGCAUAUGACACAGAGUACAAGUGGAAUGUGUGAAGGUAAACAGACU